rnacentral:rRNA from 1 species
GACGAACGCUGGCGGCGUGCUUAACACAUGCAAGUCGAACGGUAAGGCCCCAGCUUGCUGGGGUACACGAGUGGCGAACGGGUGAGUAACACGUGGGUGACCUGCCCUGCACUUCGGGAUAAGCCUGGGAAACUGGGUCUAAUACCGGAUAGGACCGCACCGUGAGGGUGUGGUGGAAAGUUUUUUCGGUGUGGGAUGGGCCCGCGGCCUAUCAGCUUGUUGGUGGGGUAAUGGCCUACCAAGGCGGCGACGGGUAGCCGGCCUGAGAGGGUGGACGGCCACAUUGGGACUGAGACACGGCCCAGACUCCUACGGGAGGCAGCAGUGGGGAAUAUUGCACAAUGGGCGGAAGCCUGAUGCAGCGACGCCGCGUGGGGGAUGACGGCCUUCGGGUUGUAAACUCCUUUCACCAUCGACGAAGGGUUUCUGACGGUAGAUGGAGAAGAAGCACCGGCUAACUACGUGCCAGCAGCCGCGGUAAUACGUAGGGUGCGAGCGUUGUCCGGAAUACUGGGGCGUAAGAGCUCGUAGGUGGUUUGUCGCGUCGUCUGUGAAAUUCCGGGGCUUAACUCCGGGCGUGCAGGCGAUACGGGCAUAACUUGAGUACUGUAGGGGAGACUGGAAUUCCUGGUGUAGCGGUGAAAUGCGCAGAUAUCAGGAGGAACACCGGUGGCGAAGGCGGGUCUCUGGGCAGUAACUGACGCUGAGGAGCGAAAGCAUGGGGAGCGAACAGGAUUAGAUACCCUGGUAGUCCAUGCCGUAAACGGUGGGCGCUAGGUGUGGGUUCCCUUCCACGGGAUCCGUGCCGUAGCUAACGCAUUAAGCGCCCCGCCUGGGGAGUACGGCCGCAAGGCUAAAACUCAAAGGAAUUGACGGGGGCCCGCACAAGCGGCGGAGCAUGUGGAUUAAUUCGAUGCAACGCGAAGAACCUUACCUGGGCUUGACAUAUACAGGAUCGCGCCAGAGAUGGUGUUUCCCUUGUGGCUUGUAUACAGGUGGUGCAUGGUUGUCGUCAGCUCGUGUCGUGAGAUGUUGGGUUAAGUCCCGCAACGAGCGCAACCCUUGUCUUAUGUUGCCAGCACGUUGUGGUGGGGACUCGUAAGAAACUGCCGGGGUUAACUCGGAGGAAGGUGGGGAUGACGUCAAAUCAUCAUGCCCCUUAUGUCCAGGGCUUCACACAUGCUACAAUGGUCGGUACAGUGGGUUGCCAGUCCGUGAGGGCGAGCUAAUCCCGCAAAGCCGGUCUCAGUUCGGAUCGGGGUCUGCAACUCGACCCCGUGAAGUCGGAGUCGCUAGUAAUCGCAGAUCAGCAACGCUGCGGUGAAUACGUUCCCGGGCCU